rnacentral:RNase_P_RNA from 3 species
GGAGCGGACUGGACAGCGGCACAGCACAGGCUGUGAGGAAAGUCCGGGCUUCAUAGGGCAGGAUACCUGCUAACGGCAGGCCGAGGCGACUCGAGGGAAAGUGCAACAGAAAGAAACCGCCAAAAAUUUUUUUGGCAAGGAUGGAAAGGCGAGGUAAGAGCUCACCGGAGUACAGGCGACUGUACUGCCAUGUAAACCCUAUCCGAAGCAACACCAGCAGGAACAAUGCGGCGGCCCGCCGGGUUCCGAAAGGUGGCGCGAGUUGUAUGGCAACGUACAGCCAAGAAAGAUCGCUGUUCUCGACAGAACCCGGCUUACAGGUUCGGUUCCGGC